rnacentral:rRNA from 1 species
UACGUAGGUGGCAAGCGUUAUCCGGAAUUAUUGGGCGUAAAGAGCGCGCAGGUGGUUGAUUAAGUCUGAUGUGAAAGCCCACGGCUUAACCGUGGAGGGUCGUUGGAAACUGGUCGACUUGAGUGCAGAAGAGGGAAGUGGAAUUCCAUGUGUAGCGGUGAAAUGCGUAGAGAUAUGGAGGAACACCAGUGGCGAAGGCGGCUUCCUGGUCUGUAACUGACACUGAGGCGCGAAAGCGUGGGGAGCAAACAGGAUUAGAUACCCCGGUA